rnacentral:misc_RNA from 1 species
GAUGAAGAACGUAGUGAAAUGCGAUAAUUAAUGUGAAUUGCAGAAUUCAGUGAAUCAUCGAGUCUUUGAACGCACAUUGCGCCCCUGGUAUUCCGGGGGGCAUGCCUGUCCGAGCGUCAUUGCUGCCCUCAAGCACGGCUUGUGUGUUGGGCUUCCGUCCCUGGCAACGGGGACGGGCCCAAAAGGCAGUGGCGGCACCAUGUCUGGUCCUCGAGCGUAUGGGGCUUUGUCACCCGCUCCCGUAGGUCCAGCUGGCAGCUAGCCUCGCAACCAAUCUUUUUAACCAGGUUGACCUCGGAUCAGGUAGGGAUACCCGCUGAACUUAAGCAUAUCAAUAAGCGGAGG